AUUGAACGCUGGCGGAAUGCUUUACACAUGCAAGUCGAACGGCAGCACGGGGCAACCUGGUGGCGAGUGGCGAACGGGUGAGUAAUAUAUCGGAACGUGCCCAAUCGUGGGGGAUAACGUAGCGAAAGUUACGCUAAUACCGCAUACGAUCUACGGAUGAAAGCGGGGGAUCGCAAGACCUCGCGCGAAUGGAGCGGCCGAUAUCAGAUUAGGUAGUUGGUGGGGUAAAGGCUCACCAAGCCAACGAUCUGUAGCUGGUCUGAGAGGACGACCAGCCACACUGGAACUGAGACACGGUCCAGACUCCUACGGGAGGCAGCAGUGGGGAAUUUUGGGACAAUGGGCGCAAGCCUGAUCCAGCCAUUCCGCGUGCA
rnacentral:rRNA from 1 species